rnacentral:rRNA from 1 species
GAUGUACGCUGGCGGCGUGCCUAACACAUGCAAGUCGAGUGGAAAGACGGGGUGGGUGGCGCACGGGCGUUUAACGCGUAAAGGAGUUGACUCACAGGUUAAGCCAACUUUUAGACACGGAUGAUAAUACGAAAUCUUAUGAUUAUACGGCAUCGUAUAUUUAUCACAGCUAUCUACACUGUAAGAGAGCUUUGCGUCGCAUUAGCUAGUUGGUAAGGUAACGGCUUACCAAGGCGACGAUGCGUAGCCGACCUGAGAGGGUGAUCGGCCACACUGGAACUGAGACACGGUCCAGACUCCUACGGGAGGCAGCAGUAGGGAAUCUUCCGCAAUGGGCGAAAGCCUGACGGAGCAACGCCGCGUGAGUGAUGAAGGUCUUCGGAUCGUAAAACUCUGUUAUUAGGGAAGAACAAAUGUGUAAGUAACUAUGCACGUCUUGACGGUACCUAAUCAGAAAGCCACGGCUAACUACGUG